rnacentral:rRNA from 1 species
AAAUGACUCUCGGCAAUGGAUAUCUCGGCUCUUGCAUCGAUGAAGAACGUAGUGAAAUGCGAUACUUGGUGUGAAUUGCAGAAUCUCGUGAACCAUUGAGUCUUUGAACGCAAGUUGUGCCCGAGGCCUUGUGGUCGAGGGCACGCCUGCUUGGGUGUCAUGG